rnacentral:rRNA from 1 species
GCUGGCGGCAGCCCUUAUACAUGCAAGUCGAACGAGAAAGCUUCUUCGGAAGCGAGUAAAGUGGCGGACGGGUGAGUAACGCGUAGGAAUCUACCUUUCAGUGGGGGAUAGCUCGGGGAAACUCGAAUUAAUACCGCAUAUACCCUUAGGGGGAAAGGGGGCCUCUCCUUGGAAGCUCUCGCUGUUAGAUGAGCCUGCGUGAGAUUAGCUUGUUGGUAAGGUAAUGGCUUACCAAGGCUACGAUCUCUAGCUGGUCUGAGAGGACGAUCAGCCACACUGGGACUGAGACACGGCCCAGACUCCUACGGGAGGCAGCAGUAGGGAAUAUUGGACAAUGGGGGAAACCCUGAUCCAGGCAUGCCGCGUGUGUGAAGAAGGCCUUAGGGUUGUAAAGCACUUUAAGUGAGGAAGAAAAGAUUCAAAUUAACACUUUGAAUCCCUGACAUUACUCACAGAAUAAGGACCGGCUAACUCCGUGCCAGCAGCCGCGGUAAUACGGAGGGUCCAAGCGUUAAUCGGAAUUACUGGGCGUAAAGCGCGCGUAGAUGGUUUAUCUAGUUGGGUGUGAAAUCCCUGGGCUCAACCCAGGAACUGCAUUCAAAACUUAUAAACUAGAGUACGAAAGAGGAGAGCAGAAUUCAUGGUGUAGCGGUGAAAUGCGUAGAUAUCAUGAGGAAUACCAGUGGCGAAGGCGGCUCUCUGGUUCGAGACUGACAUUGAGGUGCGAAAGCGUGGGUAGCAAACAGGAUUAGAUACCCUGGUAGUCCACGCCGUAAACGAUGAGAACUAGCCGUUGGAUCUUUAGAUUCAGUGGCGCAGCUAACGCAUUAAGUUCUCCGCC